rnacentral:rRNA from 1 species
GACGAACGCUGGCGGUGUGCUUAACACAUGCAAGUCGAACGGAAAGGCCCUGCUUUUGUGGGGUGCUCGAGUGGCGAACGGGUGAGUAACACGUGAGUAACCUGCCCUUGACUUUGGGAUAACUUCAGGAAACUGGGGCUAAUACCGGAUAGGAGCUCCUGCUGCAUGGUGGGGGUUGGAAAGUUUCGGCGGUUGGGGAUGGGCUCGCGGCUUAUCAGCUUGUUGGUGGGGUAGUGGCUUACCAAGGCUUUGACGGGUAGCCGGCCUGAGAGGGUGACCGGCCACAUUGGGACUGAGAUACGGCCCAGACUCCUACGGGAGGCAGCAGUGGGGAAUAUUGCACAAUGGGCGGAAGCCUGAUGCAGCAACGCCGCGUGCGGGAUGACGGCCUUCGGGUUGUAAACCGCUUUCGCCUGUGACGAAGCGUGAGUGACGGUAAUGGGUAAAGAAGCACCGGCUAACUACGUG